rnacentral:rRNA from 1 species
GACGAACGCUGGCGGCGUGCCUAAUACAUGCAAGUCGAACGAGAGCGACCGGUGCUUGCACUGGUCAAUCUAGUGGCGAACGGGUGAGUAACACGUGGGUAACCUGCCCAUCAGAGGGGGAUAACAUCCGGAAACGGAUGCUAAAGCCGCAUAGGUCUUCGAACCGCAUGGUUUGAAGAGGAAAAGAGGCGCAAGCUUCUGCUGAUGGAUGGACCCGCGGUGCAUUAGCUAGUUGGUGAGGUAACGGCUCACCAAGGCCGUGAUGCAUAGCCGACCUGAGAGGGUGAUCGGCCACAUUGGGACUGAGACACGGCCCAAACUCCUACGGGAGGCAGCAGUAGGGAAUCUUCCGCAAUGGACGCAAGUCUGACGGAGCAACGCCGCGUGAGUGAAGAAGGUUUUCGGAUCGUAAAACUCUGUUGUUAGAGAAGAACAAGUGCUAGAGUAACUGUUAGCGCCUUGACGGUAUCUAACCAGAAAGCCACGGCUAACUACGUG